rnacentral:misc_RNA from 1 species
GAUGAAGAACGCAGCGAAAUGCGAUAAGUAAUGUGAAUUGCAGAAUUCAGUGAAUCAUCGAAUCUUUGAACGCACAUUGCGCCCGCCAGUAUUCUGGCGGGCAUGCCUGUUCGAGCGUCAUUACAACCCUCAGGCCCCCGGGCCUGGCGUUGGGGAUCGGCGGAGCCCCCCGUGGGCACACGCCGUCCCCCAAAUACAGUGGCGGUCCCGCCGCAGCUUCCAUCGCGUAGUAGCUAACACCUCGCGACUGGAGAGCGGCGCGGCCACGCCGUAAAACACCCAACUCUUCUGAAGUUGACCUCGAAUCAGGUAGGAAUACCCGCUGAACUUAAGCAUAUCAAUAAGCGGAAGA